GAUGAACGCUAGCGGCAGGCUUAACACAUGCAAGUCGAGGUGCAGCACUGGUAGCAAUACCUGGUGGCGACCGGCAAACGGGUGCGGAACACGUACGCAACUUACCCUAAACAGGUGAAUAGCCCUCGGAAACGAGGAUUAAUACACCGUAAACUAUAUUGGUGGCAUCAUUGGUAUAGAAUAGCUGAGGCGGUUUAGGAUGGGCGUGCGUCCCAUUAGCUCGUUGGUAGGGUAAUGGCUUACCAAGGCGACGAUGGGUAACUGGUAUGAGAGGACGCACAGGCAGGCGGGAACUGGGACACGGGCCCGACUCCUACGGGAGGCAGCAGUGAGGAGUAUUGGUCAAUGGACGCAAGCCUGAGCCAGCCAUGCCGCGUGAAGGAUGAAGGCGUGCUGCGUUGUAAACUUCUUUUAUCAGGGAAGAAACCUCAGUAUUCUUAUUGAGCCGACGGUACCUGAUGAAUAAGCACCGGCUAACUCCGUGCCAGCAGCCGCCGUAACAC
rnacentral:rRNA from 1 species